rnacentral:tRNA from 1 species
GGGCCUGUAGCUCAGCCUGGUUAGAGCGUCCGCCUGAUAAGCGGGAGGUCGGUGGUUCGAGUCCACCCAGGCCCACCA